GAUGAACGCUGGCGGCGUGCCUAAUACAUGCAAGUCGAGCGAACAGACGAGGAGCUUGCUCCUCUGACGUUAGCGGCGGACGGGUGAGUAACACGUGGAUAACCUACCUAUAAGACUGGGAUAACUUCGGGAAACCGGAGCUAAUACCGGAUAAUAUAUUGAACCGCAUGGUUCAAUAGUGAAAGACGGUUUUGCUGUCACUUAUAGAUGGAUCCGCGCCGCAUUAGCUAGUUGGUAAGGUAACGGCUUACCAAGGCAACGAUGCGUAGCCGACCUGAGAGGGUGGUCGGCUACACGGGAAGUGAGACACGGUCCAGACUCCUACGGGAGGCAGCAGUAGGGAAUCUUCCGCAAUGGGCGAAAGCCUGACGGAGCAACGCCGCGUGAGUGAUGAAGGUCUUCGGAUCGUAAAGCUCUGUUAUUAGGGAAGAACAAAUGUGUAAGUAACUAUGCACGUCUUGACGGUACCUAAUCAGAAAGCCACGGCUAACUACGUG
rnacentral:rRNA from 1 species